UGAAAAUGUCUUCAUUUUGUUUUUCUUCAGCCAUUCAGAGGUGAACCUGCUGGUGUGUUUUGGAUCAUUGUCCUGAUGCAUAACCCAAGUUGGUUGCAGCUUGAGGUCUCAAACAGAUGACAGGACCUUCUCCUUCGGAUUUUCAGUCGACAGCAGAAUUCAUGGCUCCAUUUAUCACAGCAAAUCUUCCAAGUCCAGGUGCAGCAAAAUGGCCCCGGACCAUCACACCACCACCCAGGGCCGGCGAUUGCUAUAGGCGAGCUAGGCAAUUGCCUAGGGCGACAAAUGUGUUGGGGGGCACCCUCUAGCGUCGCCCUUAGGCUUACUUCCCAUUAAUCAUAGAAUUAGAAAAAAAAAGCGAAUUAAACCAGUUAUGAAGCGUACAUCAUAUAUAUGUAUAUAUAUAUAGCAAAAUAUGAACAAAUAAAUAUACCACCGAAUUUUUUUAUUUUCUUUUUCACAUUUAAGUGAAGAUUAAGAGAAGAUUCUGAUCACUUUUCAAGCGCCCUCCAACCCGGAAGUCGUGACAUCAGAACGUGAGUGUUCAUCUCAACAUGACGGAUUACAGCACUACAUGCGAUAGCCAAAACGAGAAAUCUGAAAGCAAAAUUUUGACUUCAUCCGAGCGAUUCCUACCAGGAGACCAUUUUGAUGUAUCGGAGGAAGAAUAUUUGUGGAGCCACACAUGUUCGACCCAGACGUUUCAGAUGAGGAGAAGGCAGCGGACGAACAACAGCGAGUCGGACAAGAAGUAGAGAUUGCACGUCGGGAGAUUAGAUUAAUGGUGUUCCUGUUCUCACUGCCAAUAAUGGAUUCUGAGAGAGUGCAUCUGUUGCCAGGAAAUCGGCUUGGUUGUUGCUAAGAUGGAAGAAGCCAGAGAGGAUAUGGAUGGAGAAAUCCCUGGCUGUAUCACAGACCAUCCUGGCAUGGAAGCGGUGUGUUUAAAUGUUUGGACAUUGCAGGUUGCUUGGUCCCAAUACAAGCAACAGCAUAGGCAUAUAGCCUAUAGACAAUUUGUGAGAUGGUGUUGGGACUAUUUAGGCAAAGAUACCAGGGUUGUGAUCCCCUCGUGUGCAGUCAGCUGUAUAAGGGCCCACUUCCCACCCCCAGGACAUGAAGAUGACUUUACCUUUAGAGGUCACCUGUUGGCAGUUAAAAAAAA